AUUGAACGCUGGCGGCAGGCUCAACACAUGCAAGUCGAGCGGAGAGAGGUAGCUUGCUACUGAUCUUAGCGGCGGACGGGUGAGUAAUGCUUAGGAAUCUGCCUAUUAGUGGGGGACAACAUUUCGAAAGGAAUGCUAAUACCCCAUACGUCCUACGGGAGAAAGCAGGGGACCUUCGGGCCUUGCGCUAAUAGAUGAGCCUAAGUCGGAUUAGCUAGUUGGUGGGGUAAAGGCCUACCAAGGCGACGAUCUGUAGCGGGUCUGAGAGGAUGAUCCGCCACACUGGGACUGAGACACGGGCCAGACUCCUACGGGAGGCAGCAGUGGGGAAUAUUGGACAAUGGGCGGAAGCCUGAUCUAGCCAUGCCGCGUGUGUGAAGAAGGCCUUUUGGUUGUAAAGCACUUUAAGCGAGGAGGAGGCUACCUGGAUUAAUACUCUAGGAUAGUGGACGUUACUCGCAGAAUAAGCACCGGCUAACUCUGUGCCAGCCGCCGCAGUAAUAC
rnacentral:rRNA from 1 species